GGAGGUAUCGUGAAUCUUAUGCUAGUGAGACAUCUGCUUCAGGUAGUGCAGUAACCGAUGAACGGGGAGAUGCUGAGACAGUCGUGAGGUCUCACUUGAAUGAGAACACAGAGGUUCCACCUGUAUCUUCUGGGAGUUUACGUUCUACGAUAUCUAGGGGCGAGUCAGUUGACCGUGAAAGAGAUGGAAGUGAAUACAGGGAUAAUUACAGAAGUGAAAGCAGGGAAGGGAGAAGGAGAGAUAGAAGAACCAGCAGGGAAGAGCGCCACCAUAGGGAUUCAUCACGUGGUUAUGAAAGAGAAUAUGAUGGGGAUGACGGAAGAAAAAGAAGUAGAUAUGAUGGUUUCAGGAGGACUCCUGGAAGAUCGGAAUGGGAUGAUGGUAGAUGGGAGUGGCAAGAUACCCCUCGUCGUGAUAGUCGUUCCAGUAGUAGUAGCAGGCGUUAUGAGCCUUCACCAUCACCAAAGUUUCUUGGAGCUUCACCUGAUUCUCGACUUGUUUCACCAUGGCUCGGGGAUCAUACUCCUCAAUCUGCUGGAGCUGCUUCUCCGUGGGACAGUGUGGCUCCUUCUCCAACUCCAAUUAGGGCAUCUGGGUCAUCAGUAAGAUCUUCAAGUUCCAGAUAUGGUGCUAAAUCCAGUUUGAUUAUGUCUUCUACAGGAGGUGCUCUGUCUGAGGACGGAGGAGAUGAUACAAAUGGUGCCUCUGAAGAUCAGAAUGAAGAGAUUACUGAAAGUAUGCGUUUAGAGAUGG
rnacentral:misc_RNA from 1 species